UGCAUAUCCCAAAAGCGGAGGAAAAGAAACCAACAGGGAUUGCCUUAGUAGCGGCGAGUGAAGCGGCAAAAGCUCAAAUUUGAAAUCUGGCGCCUUCGGUGUCCGAGUUGUAAUUUGAAGAUUGUAACCUUGGGGUUGGCUCUUGUCUAUGUUUCUUGGAACAGGACGUCACAGAGGGUGAGAAUCCCGUGCGAUGAGAUGCCCAAUUCUAUGUAAGGUGCUUUCGAAGAGUCGAGUUGUUUGGGAAUGCAGCUCUAAGUGGGUGGUAAAUUCCAUCUAAAGCUAAAUAUUGGCGAGAGACCGAUAGCGAACAAGUACAGUGAUGGAAAGAUGAAAAGAACUUUGAAAAGAGAGUGAAAAAGUACGUGAAAUUGUUGAAAGGGAAGGGUUUGAGAUCAGACUCGAUAUUUUGUGAGCCUUGCCUUCGUGGCGGGGUGACCCGCAGCUUAUCGGGCCAGCAUCGGUUUGGGCGGUAGGAUAAUGGCGUAGGAAUGUGACUUUACUUCGGUGAAGUGUUAUAGCCUGCGUUGAUGCUGCCUGCCUAGACCGAGGACUGCGAUUUUAUCAAGGAUGCUGGCAUAAUGAUCCCAAACCGCCCGUCUUGAACCAACG
rnacentral:rRNA from 1 species